rnacentral:lncRNA from 1 species
CCCCUUUUUAUGCUGCAACCUUGAUAACUUGCACCCACCAAUUCAAUGCAUGCUUCUAUUAAAAUGCCACAAAUCCAUAAAAUUCAGCUAGCAUCAUAACAAUUCAGUGCAUGCCUCCUACUAAAAUUCCACAAAACCAUAAAAUUCAGCUAGCAUCAUAAAGGGAAAGAGUGAAAAAGAUCAAUCAACUAGACCUCAGUCCCAAACUUGUUAGGGUCAACAAUAUUAAUCUUCUAUUUCCACUAUCCUCUGUUCAGGCCUAUUUAUUCCAAUAAGCAAUAAGUUAUAUUAAACAAAGAAACUUUGGAAAAAUGAAGUUUGGGCCUAGUAAGGAUACAACAAGCUAAUUGGGCACAACUUGAUAAAACAUCAGCUUUAUUAGCCCUAAAGUGCACUAACUCCUAAUAAUCAGCUUUAACCUUUUGCAUGUAAAUGGACCCAUUCAACUUAAGACUGACAGGAAAAGAAAAGGCGUUCUCUAGCAUUGCAAAAACAAAUCUAAGAUCUUGUAAAUCUGAUUUGAGGUAGAAUCCAAUAUAUAACACAGGUAAGAAUAAUUAUGGAACAGGGGGAACAUUAAAGGCCAUCCUAGAUCGAAAUAUAACACAGGUAUGAAUAAUUAUGGAACAGGGGGAACAUUAAAGGCCAUCCUAGAUACAUAGCACAAACUAUUCAAAAGCAGGAUCAACCCAGCAAGCUAGGAUGUGUAUCAUCAUCGCGUGAGAGCAGCAAUCCACGCAGCAAUUAGGUUACCUCCAAGUAGACAGUUACCGCUUAAAUUUCCCUCUAAUAAGGGACAGCACCGAGUGCAGAAAUAAUGUCAAUCAAGAAGGCAAGUACCUCCUCAUAAGAAAUAAGGUACUCCUGUCCUGGGUCCUCUCAUCUGGUUGUUUUCUUCAGUUUCAGUGAAGAACUUCACCUCUCUCUCCUGAUAAAACAUAACCAAAGUAAGCACAAGAAAGAUUAUGAAACACAGCAAGUGAGCUAAAAUUCUAUAUUAAAAAUGUCAGCGGAAAGGGGAGGCAAAUGAGACACAUUAUAAAGGACAGAAAUACCAAACAGAUAUACAAAGAGAUGCAAAGCUAACACUACAAGUUCCAAAAUAGAGAACAAACGUCAGGGCGAAGGUUCUGCACAGCUGCCUAAAGCACUUCAUAUUUUCUUCACCUUCCCAGCCUCGUAGCAAUCCCAAUACAACUGUGCAGUUCCAUUUCCUGCUCAGCACUUGAAAAUUUUCUCUCUAUCCCAAUACCUUGCUCAUUAUAGACCAUCAACUCAUUGAAAUAGACCAUCAACUCUUCUAUAAUGUGUAUGCAAGCACAGUUCCAGUGAUUAGUC